AAGGGUAUAGCUCAAGUGGUAGAGCACUUGCUUAGCAUGCAUGAGGGUCUAGGUUCAAUCCCUAGUGCCUCCU
rnacentral:tRNA from 1 species